CGGCUAUUCUUCAUUCACCUUGACGUUUCAGAAUAUCAAAACAUUCCUUGUCUAUACUUCCACAUGCACACUCAAAUACAGUCACACACUCACACAUACUCACUUAGAUACAUACACUUUGAAAUAUACACACAGUGACAAACGUAUAUACAUGCACAUUUUGAUAAAACAUUCUCACUAGCACACUCCCUUCAAAGACACAUGUCUAUGUUAAUAAAUGCAUUCAUUCUUUGAAGACUAGUCACCUGUCACCUGGAAGCAAAGCUAAGCAAUAAAACAUGUCCUCCCAAUACCGUGUCUUUGUGCUAAAAGCUAGUAAAAAUUAGUUGAUAAAUGUGUGUCGGAUGAUCACUCUUUUUCUGUGUACAUGACAGGGUUAUUCAGUAAAGUAAGAAUUCAAAGUGAAU